ensembl:lncRNA
UGCUUUUGAAUGCUGACCUCUCAUUUAUGUUACUUUCCGAACUGAAUAGCAUCUUAUGCGCAUUAAAAUAGUUUUUAAUAGAUGCUUGAACGAUAAUCAUGUAUGCAUCUUGUUCUCUUCUCCUUUUGGUCAACGCGAAAGCCGGGCUGUUGGAUGCUCCCAUUUGUUGGCCAGGAGUUCUCCUCAGGGCUGCUGGGCCCCAGCAGAGUGCUGGGCUGUGCAUCGGACCCCAGAGAGGUUCAGGAGCUCCUGCUGUUGUUCAACCUCCUCUGGCUUUGGCCGUCGGAGGAGCAACGUGAAGAUUGAAUCCCAGGAUCCACAGUUCAGGAUGAGGUCUGUAAGUCACUAUUUCUCCCUUUGGUUCCAGAGAAGUGAUUCUCUGAAUGGAAGUUAAGGAAUUUGUGACGGUCUUCAGGAAGGUUUGCCUUAGCCAGAUGUUGUAUUUGCAGUGUGAAAACAGGCUGUGUGGGAGAGCCAUGACUUGGAGUGGGGAAGGAGGAAUGUAUCAGGCUUAACACACAGCAUAUGCUCUCCUUGCAGAAUGGAUUGGGUGACUCUGGGUCUGUAUUGACUGCUUAAUCGUAGUGUUUCUAGUCUGGGGGUGGGUACACUGUUAGGUCAUGGUAACAGUGAUGAAUUUGAAGAGGAAGAGUGGCCAUUUAUUCAUCCUACUUUUCUCCCUCUCUCAAAGGAAGAGGAAGCAAUCAGGAUAGAUAGAGAGUUGUGCUUGGAAGCAGUGAAAGAAAGCUGGUAGUAUUCUAGAGAGAUGUGAGGAGCAGAACUCAGGAAAGAGUGUUGGAUUUCAAAGGAGAACAGGUUGAUAAGAGCUGUCAAGCUUGGCCAGGGCAAGCUGUGUGGGUACUGCUGGAUGAUGCUCUCCAGAGACAGAGUGUGGCAUUGGUCAGCCACCUUUCAGCAUCCUCAGUGCAGGGAAUUUCUGUUUAGUUUUGCUGUUUUCUUAAUCCCAAUGGACCAGGAGAUAUCUGGAUGACAACAGUUUCCCAGGUUUCUAUGAAGGUCUUACAUCUGUUUUCCCAACACAUAAAAAAAGAUUUGCUCUUAUAUUUCUGCUCGGGGUUUCUGAUGCUCCCCUCUGCUGUCACUGCUUUUACAGAGCAAAAGUAGCCCAAGGAAUCUGGAAGAUGAUGGACACAGUGUGUACUGCAUGCUCCCACUGAGCUUAUGGACAGCCAGAAAAGCUGUAGAUGAAGUGGAAGAGUGAUGGUCUGCUGCCAAGAGCUGCAGCAUUGGAGAAUGUGUCUGUGGCAUUCAUGUGGUCAGAAAGUCAUACCAACUGUCUCCUCCCCAGACUCACAGAUUCUUCUCAGAAAGGGUCAUGUUUUCUGUUUUCCAGGCAUUUAAACACAUAGAAGGCAUUUUCUUGUUUCCUUGCUUUCCACAAUUCUGCAAGCAGAGUUUAUAUAUACAUACAUACAUAUAUAUAUAACCAUUUUUGAACUUACUGCGCUUUCCUUCUACCCCUUGAUCUUUAUUGUUUCAGUAGAUCCCUUUUCAUUCUGUUGUAUGGUGUAUAUUUUUUAGGUUAAGAAGCUGUACUUAAUUCUUAUUUCAGAAGAUGGCUCUUCUCAGAAUGAAAAGCAGAUUGCUAUGAAGGCAAUGAUUUGAUCCUUGUGGUUUGCUGUGAGCCUCGUAGCCUCUAGUGUAAACCUAUUGGAUCUUGUUUAACAGAGAAGCAGAGAAAGUACCACCCAUGCAAAUGCUGCUCAGAAACACCUACCAGGGAGAAAAAAGCUUCUAAUGAAGACGAUGUGGUCUCUUGGCACAAGAAUUUAUGAAACAACCCAUAAAGACCCACGGUACAGCAAUCUAAGGAGCAAACUCAAGAUGUUUGAUUGAGCAAUGCGUGUGCAUUUAUUCACACCUGGAAAGAACAGCUUUCUGUGUCAUUACAUGCAGUGUGAGAAUUUCAUGUAUUGAUCUCUGUAUAUACAUCACCUGAGGUUCCUUUAUUCUCUUGGUAAAACUUGCCAGGUGUGAUGCUGUUUGGAGGUCCUUUCUGUACCAGAUGAGGCACUGAGUGUUGAAGCAAGCAUCCCUCCUGGCCUUGUCUCUUCCCAGACCGCCCCACUGAAAUGGCACUUCUAAGGAUGAUUUCAGCAAGUUUCAUCUGUGCACUGGAAGCAGAAACUUGUUGCAUGGAGGCAGCUGAAGAAUCACUUAUUCAUUACCAUGAGCGUCACUGCAGUCUUUACUGUCAAGGACUGCCGGUCACAUUUCCUCACAUCAACUCUGGGACAGAGCUAUGAUUUGUUGUAUUGCUAUUGGCCAUUUUAAGUGAUAGCUACCUGACUAAGCUAGGUAAUAAUUGCCUAUUUGUCACUAUAGGUGCUCACUUUGUGUUAUUUGUGUCUAAUAUACAAUGGCAUUAUGCUCCUAUUGAAUAUUUAUUGAAAAGCACAUCAAAUAUUUGAAGGCCUAUAAAUGUGUUCAUCUUCUGAAUUUAUCGAAGGAUCUCUGUUGACAGUCAUUGGUUUCAGUGCUGUAGUGGUUUCUUGCCUGCUCUAAUGUGGUGUUCUACCUGUUUGCCAGACAUUGCUGUUAAGCAAGUAACUGGUGAUAGCUGGAUAUCCUUCCAAGCUUAGGAAGAAGUUAUUGGCUGAAGCUGUUCUCCUUAUUAAUUUGACUCCUCAGAUUUAUGUGUCUGCAAAUGAUUUUCUUCUUAUCUCUGGCGGCUCCAGAAGAUAAUCCAGAAAUUAACUUUUCCUUGUAAAGAACUUCAUAGGAUGUUUUAGGAAAACGUGAAUAAGUAAAUGCUUAGUAGGUAGUUUGAGAUACCCUCAGCUCCUCUGGAUGCAAAGCAUUUACCACUGUGAUCUGACUUCUGUCAGUUCUCCAGGAGUGUUACUAUCUUUGCACAUUCAUCUCCUACUUCUAAAGAGAUCUUUUAGCACACAAAGCAGGAAAUGUAAGAAAACAGACAGGAUUUCCAAAGACAAGUUAGUCAUUUCACUGCAGAGUCUGGCCUUUGUUCCACGUCCAUAACAAGGCAGUGGUCUUUAAAACACGGUUGAAAAUUAGAGGAGAUGGCAUAAACGUUUGGUAAUUGCAGAGAGCCAGGGUGGUUCCUGCGUGGGCUGUUAGUCAGUGGCUGAAAACUGCUGCAGAAUGCAGUCUGUUGCUUGCUUAAUGCACAAUGAGCGUUCUCUGCAUAAGUAUCUUAAUUCACACAUCUAAAGGAACUCAGCCUGGGUUUAGCUGGGUACUUGUUAGCAACUUCUUCAGAAAUAAAGGGGUGGAAACUGUACCAUCAUCUGUGGCUGGAAGGUGAAGAUUUACUUAAAGCACUUCGGCUGAGGGGCAUCGAGAAAUGAGCACUGCUGCUGCCUGCAGGAGAGGACUCCAGCACUGCAGGGACACAGAACCUCAGGGAAGUCAUGCUGAGGAAAUGAUUCAUUUAACCUGCAGCUAUAUCGUUUGUAGAAGGUAAAGGCAAUAGGUGUGAAGAAAUGUUUGCUCAGAUCUGUGCUUUAUAUAGGUUCCAUCCUGGAUAACGUAUAUGAUAAUAUACUGAUAUGAGUAUAUCUCCUCUACAGCAUGCCAUGUUCUGACGUACUUGGGUGGCAUUUAGUGUACAGAUUACUCCUCCAUUCACAGACGUGGACUUUCCCUAGGUUAUCCACAUGUUCUGUAUUACGUUUCAGGGCUCACAGUUUAAUCUUUUCAUAAAUAAAGCUGUAGCCUUUUCUGGUAGCGAGAGAGGAAGCGAGGAAGAUUCCCUGCCCUUGAGGACCGAGCGUGGCUCUCAGUCCCCAGAAGGCUGGGAUUUUGUGCUGGCUAUUACCAAGUGUAAAAUGAAACACCUGUGUGCAGCAGCAUGCCAAGGCUGAGCCACCUGCAGCACACCUGCUAACUGCCUCACUGCAGUCGGGUCUGGGCAACGUGACAUCAUCUGAUUUCAUAUCUGUAAUUGAACAAAAGGUACGGGCUAUAGCUGAGCUCUUAUCCAAAAAAGAAGAGUUAACGCUGUAAAUACGCGUCUCUGUAAACAGAGAAACUUCUUUCCUGUUCUCAUUGAAUGGCAUGCUGUGAAACCAGAGUUGG